AUGCAAGAUAUGUUGAAUGCAACUUCCUUACGGCAGGUGUUGGAUACCUACUGUGAAAAUUCAGGUCAAAUGGUAAGCCUGGGUAAAUCUAGUAUUUUCUUCAGUCCAAAUACAAAUGCUCAAACUAGAUAUGAGAUUAGUCAGGAACUUCACAUUGCUACAGAAGCCUUGUCUGACAAAUAUUUGGGCCUUCCUGCACUAGUUGGGGCUGAUAGGAGUGAUUGUUUUAAACACUUUUGUGAAAAAAUAAAAAAACUCUUAAAAGGUUGGAUGGAGAAACAAUUAUCUAUAGGAGGAAAGGAAAUUCUAUUAAAAGCUGUUGCUCAAGCCAUACCAGUUUUUGCUAUGUCUGUCUUUUGCCUACCAAAAGGUGUAUGUAAAGAUAUUACAGAUGUUAUUGCUCAGUUUUGGUGGGGAGAUGAAGAAGAUGAUAAAAAGUUACAUUGGUUUGCAUGGUGGAAAUUAUGUAUCCCAAAAUGUGAUGGAGGAAUGGGUUUCAGAGAUUUAUAUUCCUUUAACCUGGCUUUACUUGCUAAACAAUGCUGGAGAUUGAUCACAAAUCCAGAGUCAGUUUGUGCAAGAAUUUUGAAGGCAAAAUAUUAUCCCUCAACAGAUUUAUUGCAAGCAGGGCCGAAGAGAGGCUCUUCCUUCACUUGGCAAAGCAUUGUUGCUGGACUGAGUACUUUCAAGCGGGGGUAUAUGGAGAAUUGGCUCAGGAGAAAAGGUGAAUAUUUGGGAGGAUCCAUGGAUUCCAUCUAG
rnacentral:rRNA from 1 species